rnacentral:misc_RNA from 1 species
UGAAUUUGCUACAAUAGGUCUACUCUCACUAUUAAAAGCUGAAUAAUUACAAAGAUGACAAGCCAACCCCCUUAGAUAGUGAACAGAAGGCAGCCUCCUAGGUUUCUAAUAUGACUUCAAUAAGCCCUGGAAUUUGACAAAAGGCAAUGAAGGGCUUUCUUCAUGCAAAUUUAAGGGGAGUUUAGCAAUCAAGUAUAUCUCACUCUAAUGAGGUCUUUAAACAUUUCUAAAGAAUUCUCUCAAGAUUUCUACCCAAGAAACAACUAUUAUCAAUCUUUCCUCUCAAUUUCAUCUCACUUCCCUUUCAUCUGAUAUGAAUAUAAA